rnacentral:rRNA from 1 species
UAUUGGUCAAUGGGCGGUAGCCUGAACCAGCCAAGUCGCGUGAGGGAAGACGGUCCUACGGAUUGUAAACCUCUUUCGCCGGGGAGCAACGGGGUCCUUGCGAGGGCCCAAUGAGAGUACCCGGCGAACAAGCACCGGCUAACCACGUGCCAGCAGCCGCGGUAAUACGGAGGAUGCGAGCGUUAUCCGGAUUUAUUGGGUUUAAAGGGUGCGUAGGCGGGCUGUUAAGUCAGCGGUCAAAUGUCGGGGCUCAACCCCGGCCUGCCGUUGAAACUGGCGGCCUCGAGUGGGCGAGAAGUAUGCGGAAUGCGCGGUGUAGCGGUGAAAUGCAUAGAUAUCACGCAGAACUCCGAUUGCGAAGGCAGCAUACCGGCGCCCUACUGACGCUGAGGCACGAAAGCGUGGGUAUCGAACAGG